UCAAGUUAUUAAGGGUGCAGGGCGGAUGCCUUGGCACUAGGAGCCGAUGAAGGACGUGAUAAGCUGCGAUAAGCUUCGGGGAGUUGCACGUAAACUUUGAUCCGAAGAUUUCCGAAUGAGGAAACUCACUUAGAGUAAUGUCUAAGUAUCAUUAAGUGAAUACAUAGCUUAAUGAGGGGAACUCAGGGAACUGAAACAUCUAAGUACCUGAAGGAAGAGAAAGAAAUUCGAUUCCGUAAGUAGCGGCGAGCGAACGCGGAUUAGCCCAAACCAAUAAAGUUUUCUUUAUUGGGGUUGCGGACAUAUCAUAACGAAGAGGUAUCGUAAUUGAAGAGGUUUGGAAAGACCCACCACAGAAGGUAAUAGUCCUGUAUGUUAAACGAGAAGACUUCAGAUAUGAUCCAGAGUACCACGGGACACGUGAAACCCUGUGGGAAGCAGGAGGGACCACCCUCCAAGGCUAAAUACUACCUAGUGACCGAUAGCGUAUAGUACCGUGAGGGAAAGGUGAAAAGAACCCCGGGAGGGGAGUGAAAUAGAACCUGAAACCCUGCACUUACAAGCUGUGGAAGCACAUUUCUUGUGUGACCGCGUACUUUUUGUAGAACGGGCCAACGAGUUACGUUAAGUAGCAAGGUUAAGCACUUAAGGUGUGGAGCCGUAGCGAAAGCGAGUUUUAACUGAGCGUUCAGUUACUUGACGUAGACCCGAAACCGGGCGACCUACCCAUGAGCAGGAUGAAGCGAAAGUAAAAUUUCGUGGAGGUCCGAACCCACGAGCGUUGAAAAGCUCGGGGAUGACUUGUGGGUAGCGGUGAAAUUCCAAUCGAGCCCGGAGAUAGCUGGUUCUCCCCGAAAUAGCUUUAGGGCUAGCCUCAAGGUGAGAGAUACGGAGGUAGAGCACUGAAUGUCCUAGGGGGUAUUGCACCUACCGAAGACUAUCAAACUCCGAAUGCCGUCAUCUUAUACUUGGGAGUCAGACUGUGGGUGAUAAGAUUCAUAGUCGAAAGGGCAACAGCCCAGAUCGUCAGCUAAGGUCCCUAAAUGUAAGUUAAGUGGUAAAGGAUGUGGGAUUGCACAGACAACCAGGAUGUUGGCUUAGAAGCAGCCACUCAUUCAAAGAGUGCGUAAUAGCUCACUGGUCGAGUGAUCCUGCGCCGAAGAUUUCCGGGGCUAAAACUUACUACCGAAGCUACGGCAUCAGUAAUGAUGGGUAGGGGAGCUUCCCAUACGGGUUGAAGCAUGACCGUAAGGACAUGUGGACAGUAUGGGAGUGAGAAUGUUGGCAUGAGUAGCGAGAUGUGGGUGAGAAUCCCACAGGCCGUAAACCCAAGGUUUCCAGGGGAAGGUUCGUCCGCCCUGGGUUAGUCGGGACCUAAGCUGAGGCCGAAAGGCGUAGGUGAUGGACAACAGGUUGAUAUUCCUGUACUACCGAUAACCGUUUGAGAGAAGGGAUGACACAGUAGGAUAAGCUAAGCACACUGUUGGUUAUGUGUGCCCAAGCAUUGAGGCAGUCAAAGUAGGCAAAUCCGCUUUGAUAAUGCUGGGAUGUGAUGGGGAGCGAAAUUUAGUAGCGAAGUAGCUGAUUUCACACUGUCAAGAAAAGUCUCUAUCGAGGUUAAAGGUACCCGUACCGCAAACCGACACAGGUGGGUGAGGAGAGUAUCCUAAGGCCAGCGAGAGAACUGUUGUUAAGGAACUCGGCAAAAUGACCCCGUAACUUAGGGAUAAGGGGUGCCACCAUCAGGUGGCCGCAGAGAAUAGGCCCAAGCGACUGUUUACCAAAAACAUAGGUUUCUGCUAAGUCGCAAGACGAUGUAUAGGAGCUGACGCCUGCCCGGUGCUGGAAGGUUAAGGGGAUCUGUUAGAGCAAUCGAAGCAGUGAACUUAAGCCCCAGUAAACGGCGGCCGUAACUAUAACGGUCCUAAGGUAGCGAAAUUCCUUGUCGGGUAAGUUCCGACCCGCACGAAAGGCGUAACGAUUUGGGCACUGUCUCAACAACAGACUCGGUGAAAUUGUAAUUCCGGUGAAGAUGCCGGAUACCUGCGACAGGACGGAAAGACCCCAUGGAGCUUUACUGUAGCUUGACAUUGGGUCUUGGUACUACAUGUACAGGAUAGGUGGGAGGCUUUGAAACCAGGACGCCAGUUUUGGCGGAGCCAUCCUUGGGAUACCACCCUUGUAGUACUGGGACUCUAACCAUAGGCCAUGAAUCUGGUCUUGGGACACUGUCAGGUGGGCAGUUUGACUGGGGCGGUCGCCUCCCAAAAGGUAACGGGGGCGCUCAAAGGUUCUCUCAGUACGGUCGGAAAUCGUACGUAGAGUGUAAAGGCAAAAGAGAGCUUGAUUGCAAGACAUACAGGUCGAGCAA
rnacentral:rRNA from 1 species